CAGAAGCCGAAAACGGUUUAGUAAAGGAGCAACCUGAAGCAGAAAAUGCUGCAGUGGAAGCCGAGGAUGAUGAUGAUCAAGAAUUCCAAGAGGUAAAAGAAGCACUAGAAGGGCUGGAGUUAGAGGAUCAAAAACCAAUACCUGUGGAUUUUUCAAUUCUUAAUUGGGUUCUCAAUUUUCAAUAGAAUUUCUAAUUAUUACCAAAUGCAAUAUCCUUAGUGAGCCCAUGUCUAUUUUUGGAAUUAUAGAUCACCUACAUUUGACACUUCUACAAGAAAUUGAUUUUGUUGUAAGAUAAACUGAAAUCAUUGCAUGUGGAAUUGUGGACCAUGUGGUUCAUGAAGGAAGCUUCUAUCUAGGAGAUGCCCAUAGGCUUAACGAGAUGGUACCGAGAUCCGAAGACAGGGCAACCUUAUGCAACAAAAGAAGCUUUUCAAAUAAUACGUGAACGUAAAAUACCGCAGAUCGGGGGCACACAAAAGUUUUUGGAAUCUGGAAUAUUAAUUUUCUCUGAAGUUGUUAUAUUACAUUUCAGUUUGUAUUAAGGAAAAUUUGCCAAAUACAACCUACUCCCCCCGUCCCAGAUUAGUUGUUACACUUUCCUUUUUCGUCCGUCCCAAAUUAGUUGUUACAUUUCUAAAUUAGGAAU